rnacentral:lncRNA from 1 species
AUUAGUAAUAGUUUGAUAUAUUAAUAAUUCAGUUGAUCUAAGCAUGCAUUCUUUCAUGAUGAUGAUUAUGGUCAAAAUAUGCCAAAUGUGUCUGUAAAUAUCAUGCAUAAUAUAAUCACUUAGCAAAUAAAUUGCUGAAAGAGAAGGAAAAACGUAGAGUUGGUUCUAAAGCUGUGGCAAUGUUGCUUUUAGUCAUAUGUUCUCAUUUACUCCAUUCCAGAAUGUUUAUGUGCUAUUGCAUAGUCCCUGGCGUGCCAUCUGUUCCUGCAGUCAAGACCAGUAAACUCAGGUAUGAGCCUUGCAAGAAGACAUACAUAUUUUGCUGAUUGCCAAGGGGAUAAUGCAUUGGGUAUAAGAAGAAGGAAAGUAGAGGAACCAAUUAAGAAAUAUUUACUACAAUUAAGAAGAGAUGAUAAUAACUUCGACCAAGGUGGAGGCUAUGAAGAUGGAGCAAUGCGAAUACAUGGAGACAUGUUUUUGAUGUAGACUCAGCAAGAAAUUCUAAUAUAUUAGAUUUUAUGUUUUGGGAGAAAAAGAGACAUCUCCAAGAUUAUGGCUUGAAUAGAUUGGGACUAAUAGUGAAACUUGAGAGUGAUCACAUAUGGAGAUGAAAGAUUGAAAGACCUCUCGCUGAACAUAAUAUAGAAGGUCUAAAAUACUCUCAAGUCCCCUCCAUCUCAAAAUGACAGCAGUAACAGUGAAAACUAAACAUAGCUGUACCAAGGUCUUUAUGUGGCUAUUGCUUUGAAGACAAAGAAUAACGAAGAUUGAGCCCAGCAUCUUGCUAUUAAGGAAAAGGCCUGUGUAUCUUACUUCGCCCUCCUUGUGAGUUGCCACUUCCUGUUCAUCCUCCUAUCAACGUGAUAUAAACACCAAAAUAGACCAAAGUAAUUAUCUGGGGAAUGUCCAGAGGGUGUUUACCUUCAGAAAAUUAACAGCUUUGAGACUAAAUCGAUGACCCAGCAAGAAGGUUCUCAUCAGUGGCUGACCAGAUGCCAGAAACAUGCCAUUGGAGUGCCCAGCCUUCAGAACAUGCCUCCAAGCCUCUCCCCAAGUUAGCACCAGCACUUGGGAGAAAGUACUCUCCCUCAGCCUGGGAUGCUUCACUCUUCGGUGGAAAGAUUUUGUCUUCUACCUGAGGAAGAGAGUGAGACAGAGUAACAUAUACAUAGAACAACAAGGAUGGUCGUGUGAAAGAAAAAUCAAAGGAACAGUGUAAUAGAAAGACAGUCGAGCUGGCACUCCAACUGCUGGAGCUGCUCCUGUCUAUCCUGUCAAUACCCAGCUGUGUUAUGCCUUCUCACUCCAUCAAAACAUAAAAUAAAUAAAAGAAAAACGUAUGUGCUUGUAAUGAACAGACUCUAAAAGGGCCUUCAAUUAUACUCACCUUUUUGUAUUCAUAUUCUUGUGUAUUCCCCUUCCUUUGAGCAUGAGUGGGACCUGUAACUUGCUUCCAACCAGUGGGACAUGGCAAAAGUAAUGAGAUGUCACUUAUACAGUUACAUUAUAUAAGAAAUAGUAACUGUCUUGCAAAGAGAUUCCCUCCCUUGCUGGCUUGGCUAAAGCAGGUGACAAUGUUGAGGAGUUCCGCAUGGCAAGAAACUGAGAGUAGCCUCCAGGUAGUAGGCAGAAAGAAAGUGAGGCCCUCAAUCUAACAGCCUUUCAGGAAUUAAAUUCUGCCAACAACCACAUGAACUUAGAAAUAAAUCUUUCCCCGUUCAGACCUUCAGAUGAGAACUCAGCCCUUUCU